UACGUAGGGUGCGAGCGUUAAUCGGAAUUACUGGGCGUAAAGCGUGCGCAGGCGGUAAUGCAAGACAGAUGUGAAAUCCCCGGGCUUAACCUGGGAACUGCAUUUGUGACUGCAUUGCUGGAGUGCGGCAGAGGGGGGAUGGAAUUCCGCGUGUAGCAGUGAAAUGCGUAGAUAUGCGGAGGAACACCGAUGGCGAAGGCAAUCCCCUGGACCUGUACUGACGCUCAUGCACGAAAGCGUGGGGGAGCAAACAGG
rnacentral:rRNA from 1 species